CUAAGUAAUACCCCAAGUUACAUAGAAUUUUUGUAUAUAAGCAUUGUCUGCGUUGAAUUCGUAGAUUUUACGUGAAUCCCGAACGAACAAACAGAUAAACAGACAAACAGACAAACAGACAAAAAUGACAAAAAUGAUGGAAAUGGGUUCUGUUAGUUAUCCUUUAACAUGCUGGCUAUUUUUUUUGUCAAUUUCUUCAAUGUACAAAAAUUACUUUUCUACAGAUUUAUUAUAUCCAGUGGCGGAUUAACCCUAUAAGCACAACAAGCACGUGCUUGGGGCCCCUGUUCUCCAGGGGCCUCCAUCCUCUGCUGGCGUUUCAUUUUAUACCUACAUUUUAUCGAGAUUCAUCCACAAUAUAUCCGAAAUCACAAGGCGCGAGCAGUUCGGGAGUGACCCUUCAUACACCCCCGCCUCUAAACUUGAUUGGUCGCAGUGCUGUUGAUUGUUGUACGAUCGCAGUGAUUUUUUUUUUUCAAUUGUGCAGUUGUUAUACAAUUUUUUUUCGGCUUCUACUCAUCGUUGGGCAAAGAAUUAAUAGGCAACUAUAGCGUUCCGAAGUCGCUAUCGUACAGUCGUUGGGAAUGCUUCAGAUCAGUGGUCCUGGUGGUGGUGGGCUGGUGGUGCCUGGAGGCAUUCCAAGUGGUCCGCGGACCACCGGUUAAGUCCGCGGACGUUGUUAUCGAUCUUACGUUAUCCAUCUUACUUGUCCAACAGAAAGAAAUGAAGGUUUGAAAUGUAGCCCUUUUACGAAAUUUUAGUUCUGAGUCUUAAAACAUAAUCAAGAUUUCCCGCUCGCUUCGCUCGCGUUUUCAAAAACUAUAUGUCCUCGUUUUUACAUUUGUCAACAAAUUAAAAGUUAAGUACGUUUGGGCUACAUUGUACGUAAUUUUGGUUCUGAGUCUAUAAUAAAAAUAAUUAAAAUUUCGCGCUCGCUUCGCUCGCGUAUUCAGAAACUAU
rnacentral:lncRNA from 1 species